UGGCUUAGUGGUUAAAACCUAUGGCUGUUAACCAAAAGGCUGGUGGUUAGAAUCCACC
rnacentral:tRNA from 1 species